rnacentral:lncRNA from 1 species
GUUGGAGGAAAGGGAAACGGCGCGGAUGCGCGCCGAAGCGCGACGGAUGCGCGAGGGCGGCGACAGCAUCCCAGGAGUGGGAAAGGCUGCACAGCGGUCCCGUAUCGUAUGGCGAGGUUUCCAGCUGUCAAGAGGGCCAUGGAGCUGGCCGAUAGUGAUUUGGCCAUUACAAGGGGCCCUACAGUGUUUGGGGCCCUAAGUGGCGGCGGGGAUGGGGUCGACGAUGGCUGCGGAUCGGGUGUGUAUAGCAUUCCAGUCUAUAAUAGGGAUAGCGAUAUACGAGGCAACUACAUCGGGAUGACAGGGAGAGCAUUGCACGAACGUUUGGAGGAGCAC